UACGGAGGGGGCAAGCGUUGUUCGGAAUCAUUGGGCGUAAAGGGCGCGUAGGCGGCCGUCCAAGUCGGGUGUGAAAUCCCUCGGCUCAACCGAGGAACUGCACUCGAUACUGCUUGGCUUGAGACCGGGAGAGGUGAGUGGAAUUCCCAGUGUAGCGGUGAAAUGCGUAGAUAUUGGGAGGAACACCAGUGGCGAAGGCGGCUCACUGGACCGGUACUGACGCUGAUGCGCGAAAGCUAGGGGAGCAAACGGG
rnacentral:rRNA from 1 species